CCACAGUGUAAACGGCGGCGUAUUGAUCAGCUUCUGAGUCUUCAGACGAGCUAACCUUGCUUGCAGAAUAACUCUGUACCUGAAGCGGGAGAAAAAUGGCCUGGUUGUCAACACUCGCCCAUCUGCAAAGGAAGGCCAGAUCAAUAAGCAGGAGAGGGGAGAAAAAAAAGGCAAGAACUCUUGGAAUCACUAGCCGAACCACCCACUGCUUCUCUACUGCCCCUUAAUCGUCCAUUAGCGAGCUUCAUCAGCCAUCUUUUAACCAUGGGCAACCUUGAGGAUGGAAACUAAGUGCUAAGAAUGGACAGCAGAGACAGCAGAAGCCUGGAACUUGGAGCGCAUCAUAGAACCACCAGCCUGCUCGGGACUGCCUGCCUCCAGGCCUCUUUUAUUUACAAGAAAACAAACCACUUUCUUGUUUGAGUCACAGUUAUUUCGAGUCUCUGGGACAAGCAGCCACAUGCAACUUCCAGGUAAGACGCUUGGUCUUUAUGGACCUUUUCUCCCUUGAUUCUCCUACUACCACUCAGACAACUUUUCCUCCAUCCACCCUGAAAUCGUGGAGUUUCUAGUCUCCAGCCCCAUCCCUCUUACUCUCUGCCUUCACUCUCUAAGUUUCCUGGCAAACAAGAGUUCUCUCAAUGGGCCAGUUCUCUCACUCCUCUGAUUUUACAAAUGCCCUUAGCCCCUACUUUGUUUGAUUCCACUUCUUCUUCCAAAACUGAGUUCAACUGUCUUCUCUGAUCCCCCAAAUCUAAGUCAGGUUGUGUCACAAACAUUUAUCACACAGUAAUAUAACAGUCUGUCUCUCCACAAGAAGGUGAAUUUCUUGAGAUUUCCAUCUCAGUAUUUUCAUUACAGAUAAUGAUGUACUAGGGAUAUAAACAUGAAAUAAAACAUGGUCCUAUAUUCAAGAGCUACCCAACUAUAUUAAUUUUCUCAGUGAAUAUUAUAGACGAAUGAAAUGUGCUUAAACAAAACAGACAUUGCAUUAAAGCAUUGUUUCUGUAGGUCAUCCUUAUGCUAUUCUCCGGCACUUAUAACAUACAACCUUGUAUAACAGUUAUCAGAAACAGGGCUUGUUUUUCUUUUCUUUCGAAGGUAAGGAUUAUAGCCUAAAUACUCCUAUCUCCUAGAGAGUCUGAGAUAAUAUCAUGUAUUUAAUUAUACCUUAAGUAAAUAUCUGCUGAAUGAACAAAAUGAAAUUAGUUGUCACUCAUCUUUAUACAGCAUUCAUCAUCAUAGCAUUUUAUUGUCAUGAAAUGGCAAA